rnacentral:rRNA from 1 species
UACGUAGGGGGCUAGCGUUGUCCGGAUUUAUUGGGCGUAAAGAGCGUGUAGGCGGUUAGGUAGGUCCGUUGUGAAAACUCGAGGCUCAACCUCGAGACGCCGAUGGAAACCAUCUAACUAGAGUCCGGAAGAGGAGAAUGGAAUUCCUGGUGUAGCGGUGAAAUGCGCAGAUAUCAGGAAGAACACCCGUGGCUAAGGCGGUUCUCUAGUACGGUACUGACGCUGAGACGCGAAAGCGUGGGGAGCGAACAGG